CCCCAACGGCAGAAUAAGGGACACGUCCCACACACACCCAAGGCACACACACAGGUCAACAACAUACACAACACCUAUGGACUUUGGUUGCCUGAAUAUAUGGUCAAGAUCUUUGAACAGGGCUUGACCAUUGCCCUUCCUGCUUCAUAGAAGAAGCUGCUGGUGGUGCACAAGCAGGUUAUGAUCUAUAAAGCCCUAAGAGAACAGUAUUUCCCAAAAGUGCCCCUUCAAAGCUUUGCAUGGUGUUUCUGAGGAAUGUCACGGUUCCACCACACUCAGAAACAGAUAUGAUGGGGACAUCAAUCCAUCCUUCUCAGCAGCCCUUAUGGAGGACAUCCACACAUCAAGAAAUAUCUCCAGGAUGUUUUUUUGUCCAUGUCAUCCAGCUGAAGACUGCUCAGAGUUUAUGAGAAAUAACAUCUUUUGAUAAACUCUCAUGAGGAGAAGUUACUUCCUUCUGAGGAUUGUUCAUGUGGGAAACUACAUAUUUAUUCAUAGAAUCAGAAGGUUCUUCAAUUACAGAAGCACUGGAAAAACAAAUGAAAGAGUCCUUGGAUAAAGUAGGGCUUUUCAAUUACUAAACCUCCUCUUUGGCAAUUGACAAGAUAAAAAGACAUGGAAAGCAUCACAGAUGUUCUGAAGAGUUAUGUAUACUUCAUAAGUCAGUACAGGUAAGCAUAAACAAUGGUCUAAAGUGGCCUGAGUUACUGAAUAAGGGCAUGUGGCUGAAGCAACUCUUGUCACAAGAGUUUUGAGUCCAUAACAGCAUGUGUAUGCAUAAACACGUGUGUGUACCUGUCAUAGCUCCAAGCAUGUUAAGCCUAGACACCUGAAACUUGGCAUGUAUACUAAGGGAGCCCCACAGUAUAUAACUCAGGGUUACCACCUCCCCCCCACACACACAUUAAUUAAUUUAAUUGGUUUAAAUAUUGCCUAUAGAUGACAAUACCAAGUUCAGUCUACAGGCAAAUCAAGCUCCUACUGAAAAAAGGGAUCAAGCUGAAGCCACAGUAGGGUAAGAGUGUGACCAGAUCUGGAGAUCAGAGAGUAACUGGAGCAGAAAUGGCUGGAGGCAGAACCCCUGCUGCAAGGGAGUAGAAAACUACAUAACAAUCAUGUAGCCCAUCAGAUGUUGCUCAACUGCAGUUCUCAUUGUUGGUUGUGUGUGCCAGGAUGGCAGUCCAGCUCCAGAGAGAGGCACUAUUUGCACUGUUACUCCAUAUAUUUCUGCAUUCCAGCAAGCGUCUAGUUUGCUUCUGGCAUUGGUUUGGUGUCAGCAUCUGACACCCACUGCCAUGCUAUCAAUUAAAAAGAAGAACCUUCAAGGAUAUGUUAUGUACAAAAGUCAUUUGCCCAAAAUCAGCCACACCUGUGAAAAGCAUAUCAAGAGGAGGCAAGAGGCAUGCCUAAAGUUCCAGCAGUUCAUGACUUGACACACACUGAACAGAAAUAUGAUGACCAACUCUGACAGCUCCUUGACACUGAUGGAAGCUUCUCAUAUAUCAUAUAGAAUAAGGGCUAUUCUAAAGCCAGAUACCUCUGUUUGCAAUGUAUCUUUGCAGGCUUUCACUGAGAUAGCAAUUGUACAUGUGUGGCCAGUAUAAAUAAUAAUUAAUGACUACAUAAUAACUUAUUUUCACUCUCUGAUGUUACUAUUGACUGAAAUUUAAUCUCCUUUUUUAUUCCGUGUAUUUUUCAGUAUUCUAUGUAUUUUCCAUAUCUCCCUGAAUAGCAGCACUUUCAGAUAUGUCAGUGAAACAGUAGCUUUUUCUGCUGGGAAAUGAAUUGCUCUGAUUUAUGAAGUUCAAAAUAGCACCAGGUGAUUCAGCCUAUGAAGAGAAAGAAAAAGUUGCUCCAGGUUUGUAUCACAGCUACUCAACAGCUAUUCUCAGCUUCAGCUAUUAAGUGGUAAAGCAAUUAAAGAAACUUGGGCAGGUUAUAAACCGCCAUGAAA